UUAAAUUCAUAUAAUUCCAAAAUUUAUUUUCACUCUUUCAAAUUCUAUAAUAGUUAUAAUAAAAUUUUAAAUUUUUUAUACAAGCUAUGUCAAUUAUAUAAUGUGAAAUAACAUGAAGUUUCUCUUCUAUAUUUCAAUUAUUCUAUGUUUAUAUCACAAUGAAGGCGAAUGUCUAGUUAAAAUCUCAAAAUUUUAACUUUGAUAUAUUAAUCAAAUAUAAAUACCUAUCUAAAAACUUUGUUCACUGCAUUGUUAUAUUACUGCGAUUGUAAAUUAAUCUGAAAAAUAAUAUAUCAAUUUUGUUACUUAUUAUUGUGAUCUCUUAAACGCAAUUUGAUGGGGAUUUUUCGUAUUAUUAGACGUUAUUGGAUUGUAACUUGUAUGCCUCUUUUGACUGCUACUUUUAUUAUCUUAGAUUUAAAUCGUACUCGAAAUUGGAAAAAAUUUUUAAAUGAACAGGAAAAAUUAAAAUCAAAAAAUUGAAAUGGCAUUCCUAAAAAAUUCACUUGUGACACAAUAUAGUUUAUCUGUUGCUGGACUUAUUGGUGCAUAUUUUUUGACACGCUAUUUAUAUAAUUAUGCUUCUGAUUUAACAAUGACAACUUAUCGUGACAAAUCAGCUUUAUAUGGAAGAGAAUUAAAACCUGGAGAGCCUCCGUCUUGGCCGUAAUAUAUUAGUUAUAUUCCUUAAAAAAAAAUUUAUAUAUUAAAAAAUGUAAAGUUUAUUAUAACUAUAAAAGAGUAAUAAACUAGUAGUAAUGUAACAUGUA